rnacentral:rRNA from 1 species
CUACGGGAUGCUCCAGUGAGGAAUUUUGCGCAAUGGGGGCAACCCUGACGCAGCAACGCCGCGUGAGUGAAAAAGGCCUUUGGGUCGUAAAGCUCUGUCAACAGGGAAGAAGUUACUUCAUAUUAAUAGUAUGUAGUAUUGACGGUACCUGUGGAGGAAGCAUCGGCUAACUCCGUGCCAGCAGCCGCGGUAAUACGGGGGAUGCAAGCGUUAUUCGGAAUCAUUGGGCGUAAAGGGCACGCAGGCGGCUCUGUCAGUCAGAUGUGAAAGCCCGGGGCUCAACCCCGGACGUGCAUUUGAAACAGCAGAGCUUGAGUACGGUAGAGGAAAGCGGAAUUCCUGGUGUAGAGGUGAAAUUCGUAGAUAUCAGGAGGAACACCGGUGGCGAAGGCGGCUUUCUGGACCGAAACUGACGCUGAGGUGCGAAGGCGUGGGUAGCGAACAGGAUUAGAUACCUGAGUAGUC